rnacentral:rRNA from 1 species
AUUGAACGCUGGCGGCAGGCCUAACACAUGCAAGUCGAACGGUAACAGGAAACAGCUUGCUGUUUCGCUGACGAGUGGCGGACGGGUGAGUAAUGUCUGGGAAACUGCCUGAUGGAGGGGGAUAACUACUGGAAACGGUAGCUAAUACCGCAUAACGUCGCAAGACCAAAGAGGGGGACCCUCGGGCCUCUUGCCAUCGGAUGUGCCCAGAUGGGAUUAGCUUGUUGGUGGGGUAACGGCUCACCAAGGCGACGAUCCCUAGCUGGUCUGAGAGGAUGACCAGCCACACUGGAACUGAGACACGGUCCAGACUCCUACGGGAGGCAGCAGUGGGGAAUAUUGCACAAUGGGCGCAAGCCUGAUGCAGCCAUGCCGCGUGUAUGAAGAAGGCCUUCGGGUUGUAAAGUACUUUCAGCGGGGAGGAAGGGAGUAAAGUUAAUACCUUUGCUCAUUGACGUUACCCGCAGAAGAAGCACCGGCUAACUCCGUGCCAGCAGCCGCGGUAAUACGGAGGGUGCAAGCGUUAAUCGGAAUUACUGGGCGUAAAGCGCACGCAGGCGGUUUGUUAAGUCAGAUGUGAAAUCCCCGGGCUCAACCUGGGAACUGCAUCUGAUACUGGCAAGCUUGAGUCUCGUAGAGGGGGGUAGAAUUCCAGGUGUAGCGGUGAAAUGCGUAGAGAUCUGGAGGAAUACCGGUGGCGAAGGCGGCCCCCUGGACGAAGACUGACGCUCA